AUUGAACGCUGGCGGCAGGCCUAACACAUGCAAGUCGAGCGGUUGAAGGGGGCUUGCCCCUUGAUUCAGCGGCGGACGGGUGAGUAAUGCCUAGGAGUAUGCCUGGUGGUGGGGGAUAACGUCCGGAAACGGGGGCUAAUACCGCAUACGUACUGUGGGAGAAAGAGGGGGUUCUUCGGACCUCUCGCUAUCAGAUGAGACUAGGUCGGACUAGCUAGUUGGAGGGGGAAGGGCCUACCACGGCGACGUACCGUAACUGGUCUGAAAGGAUGAGCAGGCACACUGGAACUGGGACACGGCCCAGACUCCUACGGGAGGCAGCAGGGGGGAAUAUUGGACAAUGGGCGAAAGCCUGAUCCAGCCAGGCCGCGUGUGUGAAGAAGGUCUUCGGUUUGUAAAGCACGUUAAGUUGGGAGGAAGGGUAGUAAGUUAAUACCUUGCUGUUGUGACGGUACCAUCAGAAUAAGCACCGGCUAACUACGUG
rnacentral:rRNA from 1 species